rnacentral:rRNA from 1 species
UACAGAGGGUGCGAGCGUUAAUCGGAUUUACUGGGCGUAAAGCGUGUGUAGGUGGUUAUUCAAGUCGGUUGUGAAAUCCCCGGGCUCAACCUGGGAACUGCUUCCGAGACUGAAAGACUAGAGUACGGUAGAGGGUGGUGGAAUUUCCGGUGUAGCGGUGAAAUGCGUAGAUAUCGGAAGGAGCAUCAAUGGCGAAGGCAGCCACCUGGGCCUGUACUGACACUCAACAACGAAAGCGUGGGGAGCAAACAGG